rnacentral:rRNA from 1 species
GAUGAACGCUGGCGGCGUGCCUAAUACAUGCAAGUCGAGCGAACAGAUGAGGAGCUUGCUCCUCUGACGUUAGCGGCGGACGGGUGAGUAACACGUGGAUAACCUACCUAUAAGACUGGGAUAACUUCGGGAAACCGGAGCUAAUACCGGAUAAUAUAUUGAACCGCAUGGUUCAAUAGUGAAAGACGGUUUUGCUGUCACUUAUAGAUGGAUCCGCGCCGCAUUAGCUAGUUGGUAAGGUAACGGCUUACCAAGGCAACGAUGCGUAGCCGACCUGAGAGGGUGAUAGGCCACACUGGAACUGAGACACGGUCCAGACUUAUACGGGAGGCAGCAGUAGGGAAUCUUCAGCAAUGGGCGAAAGCCUGACGGAGCAACGCCACGCGAGUGAUGAAGGUCUGCGGGUCUUAAAACUCUGUUAUUAGGGAAGAAAAAAUGUGUAAGGAUAUAGGCACGUCUUGACGGUACCUAAUCAGAAAGCCACGGCUAACUUCGUG